rnacentral:rRNA from 1 species
AACGAACGCUGGCGGCGCGCCUAAUACAUGCAAGUCGAGCGAGAAGACGUAGCAAUACGUUUGUAAAGCGGCGAACGGGUGAGGAAUACAUGGGUAACCUACCCUCGAGUGGGGAAUAACUAGCCGAAAGGUUAGCUAAUACCGCGUACGCUCCUUGGACUUCGGUUCAGGGAGGAAAGACGAUACCGUGGGUAUCGCGCUCUUGGAUGGGCUCAUGUCCUAUCAGCUUGUUGGUGAGGUAACGGCUCACCAAGGCUUCGACGGGUAGCUGGUCUGAGAGGACAAUCAGCCACACUGGCACUGCGACACGGGCCAGACUCCUACGGGAGGCAGCAGUAAGGAAUAUUGCGCAAUGGGCGAAAGCCUGACGCAGCGACGCCGCGUGGGGGAGUGAA